AAAUUGAAGAGUUUGAUCAUGGCUCAGAUUGAACGCUGGCGGCAGGCCUAACACAUGCAAGUCGAACGGUAGCACAGAGAGCUUGCUCUCGGGUGACGAGUGGCGGACGGGUGAGUAAUGUCUGGGAAACUGCCCGAUGGAGGGGGAUAACUACUGGAAACGGUAGCUAAUACCGCAUAACGUCGCAAGACCAAAGUGGGGGACCUUCGGGCCUCACACCAUCGGAUGUGCCCAGAUGGGAUUAGCUAGUAGGUGGGGUAACGGCUCACCUAGGCGACGAUCCCUAGCUGGUCUGAGAGGAUGACCAGCCACACUGGAACUGAGACACGGUCCAGACUCCUACGGGAGGCAGCAGUGGGGAAUAUUGCACAAUGGGCGCAAGCCUGAUGCAGCCAUGCCGCGUGUAUGAAGAAGGCCUUCGGGUUGUAAAGUACUUUCAGCGAGGAGGAAGGCGUUGUGGUUAAUAACCACAGCGAUUGACGUUACUCGCAGAAGAAGCACCGGCUAACUCCGUGCCAGCAGCCGCGGUAAUACGGAGGGUGCAAGCGUUAAUCGGAAUUACUGGGCGUAAAGCGCACGCAGGCGGUUUGUUAAGUCAGAUGUGAAAUCCCCGGGCUCAACCUGGGAACUGCAUUUGAAACUGGCAAGCUUGAGUCUCGUAGAGGGGGGUAGAAUUCCAGGUGUAGCGGUGAAAUGCGUAGAGAUCUGGAGGAAUACCGGUGGCGAAGGCGGCCCCCUGGACAAAGACUGACGCUCAGGUGCGAAAGCGUGGGGAGCAAACAGGAUUAGAUACCCUGGUAGUCCACGCCGUAAACGAUGUCUACUUGGAGGUUGUGCCCUUGAGGCGUGGCUUCCGGAGCUAACGCGUUAAGUAGACCGCCUGGGGAGUACGGCCGCAAGGUUAAAACUCAAAUGAAUUGACGGGGGCCCGCACAAGCGGUGGAGCAUGUGGUUUAAUUCGAUGCAACGCGAAGAACCUUACCUGGUCUUGACAUCCACGGAAGUUUUCAGAGAUGAGAAUGUGCCUUCGGGAACCGUGAGACAGGUGCUGCAUGGCUGUCGUCAGCUCGUGUUGUGAAAUGUUGGGUUAAGUCCCGCAACGAGCGCAACCCUUAUCCUUUGUUGCCAGCGGUUAGGCCGGGAACUCAAAGGAGACUGCCAGUGAUAAACUGGAGGAAGGUGG
rnacentral:rRNA from 1 species